rnacentral:rRNA from 1 species
AAUAGAUACCCGGGUAGUCCAUGCCGUAAACGUUGGGAACUAGAUGUAGGGCCUGUUCCACGGGUUCUGUGUCGUAGCUAACGCAUUAAGUUCCCCGCCUGGGGAGUACGGCCGCAAGGCUAAAACUCAAAGGAGUUGACGGGGGCCCGCACAAGCGGCGGAGCAUGCGGAUUAAUUCGAUGCAACGCGAAGAACCUUACCAAGGCUUGACAUAUAGAAGAACACUGCAGAGAUGCAGGACUCUUUGGACACUUCUAUACAGGUGGUGCAUGGUUGUCGUCAGCUCGUGUCGUGAGAUGUUCGGUUAAGUCCGGCAACGAGCGCAACCCUCGUCCUAUGUUGCCAGCGGUUCGGCCGGGAACUCAUGGGAUACUGCCGUGGUCAACACGGAGGAAGGUGGGGAUGACGUCAAAUCAUCAUGCCCCUUAUGUCUUGGGCUUCACGCAUGCUACAAUGGCCGGUACAAAGAGCUGCGAUACCGCGAGGUGGAGCGAAUCUCAAAAAGCCGGUCUCAGUUCGGAUUGGGGU